UUGGGAAUCUUGGACAAUGGGGGAAACCCUGAUCCAGCCAUGCCGCGUGAGUGAUGAAGGCCUUCGGGUUGUAAAACUCUUUCGACGGGGACGAUAAUGACGGUACCCGUAGAAGAAGCUCCGGCUAACUUCGUGCCAGCAGCCGCGGUAAUACGAAGGGGGCUAGCGUUGUUCGGAAUUACUGGGCGUAAAGCGCGCGCAGGCGGUCUUCCAAGUCAGUGGUGAAAGCCCGGAGCUCAACUCCGGAACUGCCAUUGAAACUGUUAGACUUGAGGACGAGAGAGGUGAGUGGAAUUCCCAGUGUAGAGGUGAAAUUCGUAGAUAUUGGGAAGAACACCGGUGGCGAAGGCGGCUCACUGGCUCGUAUCUGACGCUCAGGCGCGACAGCGUGGGGAUCAAACA
rnacentral:rRNA from 1 species